UCUAAACCUUAAUCAUGAUCCCUUUGUGUCUAGCGCUAAUGUUGCUUUUGGAGUAAGGACUUUUUUUUUUUUACGUUUUCAGCUAUCGGCCAGGUGGCUGAAGGCCUGCACUUGGGUACCUACCUCCUUUUCGGAUAGACUGUAUUCCCUGUCCAUGUUUUAGCUGUACUUGUGACACAGGACACGAGAGAACGUGCUCAUGUGAACACAAGUGAAGGACACCAUGGGGACUUGCCACACAGAUGCCAGCACGUGGACUGUGUACAGGGCAUUUCUGCUGAAGCGCUAUGUCUGAUUUUCUGCAUACGGCCCCAUUCCUUCUCUACAAGAGAUGCCUGUACCAACCCAUGGUGGGGGAAAAGAUGAAGAUGAGAUCCUGAGAAACUUGAGGAAUGUGGUAAUGGCAGCGGACACAUUCCCCUUGCAUCACAAUGGUCUGUGGUACCGCCUCUGCACCUUGGCCCAAGACCUAACAGUAACAAAAUAAGGUUCAUCUCCUAGCCAGAAUCAAGAAAGGAAGACACAGCAGCCACACUGUUCCCACAGAGGUGAGGUCUGGAAGGGAUCACCCAGGCCGGGAGACAUCUGUUUGGAGUGCGCAGUCAUCCUCCUCUCAUUAUUUCCUGAAACUCACAGAAAAACCUUAAGGCAGCCUCUUUGGUUCCAUCCCGUCCAGUCUUGGAUACAGAAAAAUAAUGGACUUCUAUAAGAGUUGCAACACCACGUCGUCUACUAGACAA